rnacentral:rRNA from 1 species
AAACCAGCACCUCAAGUGGUCAGGAUGAUUAUUGGGCCUAAAGCAUCCGUAGCCGGCUCUGUAAGUUUUCGGUUAAAUCUGUACGCUCAACGUACAGGCUGCUGGGAAUACUGCAGGGCUAGGGAGUGGGAGAGAUAGACGGUACUCGGGAGGAAGUGGUAAAAUGCUUUGAUCUCUCGAUGACCACCUGUGGCGAAGGCGGUCUAUCAGAACACGUCCGACGGUGAGGGAUGAAAGCUGGGGGAGCAAACCGGAUUAGAAACCCCGGUAGUCC